GUGUGUAAAGCUCAAUGGUAGAGUGUGUGCUUAGCAUGCAUGAGGUCCUGGGUUCAAUCCCCAGUGCCUCCA
rnacentral:tRNA from 1 species